GACGAACGCUCGCGGCGUGCUUAACACAUGCAAGUCGAACGGAAAGGCCCCUUUGGGGGUACUCGAGUGGCGAACGGGUGAGUAACACGUGAGUAACCUGCCCUUGACUUCGGGAUAACUUCAGGAAACUGGGGCUAAUACCGGAUAGGAAUCCUUGCUGCAUGGUGGGGGUUGGAAAGCUUCGGCGGUUUUGGAUGGACUCGCGGCUUAUCAGCUUGUUGGUGGGGUAGUGGCUUACCAAGGCUUUGACGGGUAGCCGGCCUAAGAGGGCGACCGGCCACAUUGGGACUGAGAUACGGCCCAGACUCCUACGGGAGGCAGCAGUGGGGAAUAUUGCACAAUGGGCGGAAGCCUGAUGCAGCAACGCCGCGUGCGGGAUGACGGCCUUCGGGUUGUAAACCGCUUUCAGCAGGGGCGAAGCUUGUGGUGACGGUACCUGCAGAAGAAGCACCGGCUAACUACGUG
rnacentral:rRNA from 1 species